ACACGAACUAAUGGACCUCUGCUACCAUCUUCUGGCUAAGGAGGGAAUUGCAGGCGUCAGACUCCUCUUUACCAAUGAAGCGUCUCAGUCGGCCGGUGUGAGGACGUCAUCUGGACUGGCGGUGGCGCAUGCGCAGUAGAAGAAGGUCAGCGAGCUGCGUGGGCUAGUGCCAAGGCACUUGUGUUUAGGGCCUUGUGCUGGCACCGGGGGCGCCGGGUUGGCGACUUUGGCACUCCUGGCGUUGGGUGGGCGGCAUCGUGCCCGUGGGCGCUGGGGUCAGCGUCGCGGCUUUUCCGGACGUUCGUCGGCCAGGAGGAAGGGCAGAAAGCACAUCUCGGAAAGGUGGGAAGACUAUCUCCCAGUUGAACAGCGGAUGCCUGGGACUCGUUUCCUUGCUUUCAAAGUUCCUUUAAAAAAGUUUUGAAAAGAAUCUUGCUCCAGAAGAAUGAUUUUCCCUCUUGGACCUUUUUUAACAAACUCCAAGAACAGAAUGAAGAACUUGGGCUGAUUAUUGACUUAACAUAUACUCGCCGCUAUUAUAAGCCAGAGGACUUACCAGAAACUAUUCCUUAUUUAAAAAUUUGUACAAUUGGGCAUCAGGUGCCAGAUGACGACACUAGUGUUAAAUUCCAGUGGGAAUUUAUAUGGGUUUCUGAAAGAAAAUAAAGAUAAUGAUAUUUGAUUGAUGUAGAAGGCAUGUGGCCAGAUGAUGCAAUUGGAUACUGGUGUUUUAUCCUUGCAAGUUCUCCGUCAUUCCAUAAGAGAGCUGCUCUUCUUCUGGUUUCAUAAGAGAUGGGGAUGCAGGUUCGAUCCCUGGCUGAGGAACUGAGAUCCCCCAUGCCGCAGGCCAACUAAGCCCGCACGCCGCAACUACUGAGCCCACGUGCUGUGGAGCCCACGCCCCACAACUAGAGAGCCCAUGAGCUGCGAGGGAGAGCCCCCACGCUGCAACGAAGAGCCCACAUGCUGCAACUAAUACCCGACACCGCCAAAAGUAAAUCAUUUAAAUAAAAUCAUACGAGUGAAUGAACAUAAUGCCUUAAGAGAAACAAACAGGAAAAGGAAAAAUUUUUUUGAAGAUAAAAAGGAUUUUAGAGAAAUGGAAAACAUAAAAGAUAGGUAAAAACAAGUCAGGACAACUCUGAGAAAAGUAAUAUAAAUAUGUAUAAGAAUCUAUUAUACCAUAAAAGUGACAUUUCAAAUCAUUGGGACAGAUUAGUCAAUAAAUUGUGAUACAUACACGUUGAGGUAUAAAUAGUUCUCUGGAAGGAUCCACAGCAUGGCAAAAGCAGAUGUCUCUGAGGAGGGAAAUGUGUGGCUGGGGCACGUGGGGAAAAGGGUGACUUUUCGUUGAAUGCCCUUGUGGACCUUUUCUAAUGUUCUGUCAUGUGAAUUUAUUACCUCUGAAGUUCGCCUGAGUUCAAACCCCAGUUCCCCCAGUUGCUAGCUCUUAAUCUUGGGCAAACUCUUCACACUCUCCAAGCCUCUUUAUCUGUGAAAUAAGGUCAGUAACUUAGCCUGGUGCUGCCUGGCACAGAAUAAACUGUCAAUAAAUGGAGAUUAUUAGUGUAAAAAACCCAAAUGCCCAUCAAUGGAUAAAUGGAUUUUUAAAAUGUGGUGUAUUUGUGAAUUAUUAUACAGUCAUAAAAAGGAAUGAAGUACUGACACAUUCUACGACAUGGACGAACUUGAAAACAUUAUGCUAAGUGAAAGAAGCCACACACAGUGGUCCCAUUUGUAUUAUGUCAUGAAAUGUCCAGAAAAGGCAAAACCAUAGCAACAGAAAGGAAAUUAAUGGUUGCAGGGACUGAAGGAGGAGGGGAUGAAGAGGGCCUGCUGAUGGUUACGGGGGCUUCUUUGUGGGGUGAUGAAAACGUGAUGGGUUAGAUGACGGUGAUGGUUGCAUAGGCUUGUGAAGGUACGAAAUGACGCUGAAUUUGCAGUUUCAGAAGGUGAAUGUUAUGGCAUGUGAAUGACAUCUCAAAAAAUUAAUGUUGAAAAUGAACAUUGCCAGUUUUCCCAUGGUCACUAUCCACUAUCCACUGUUUCCAUCUCUCCCUUCU